GGGGCUGACUUGGAAUUGACAGGAAAUGUUAUGUGAUGGUAAGCAUGCCGAAGUAUGAUGUCUCAUCUUCGUUAAAAACUGGGCAUUUAACCAAUUUUAAAUGGCAAUAACAAUUUUGCCUUAGCUGCGUAAUUCUAGGAAUUAAGUAGCUUUUGUGCUUUCUUUUGGACGCCAGAUAAGAGAGAAAAGCACAUCACAAACCAUGUGGCUAGUCGGAUUGGGGGUCUCGACAAUCCGGCGAAACUCAGAGACUAAGAGAUGCAUUUACCGGUUGUCAGGUGUGUGUAUCUUCGAAAACCAAAUUGAUAGCUAAGCAUGUAGAAGGCCAUUGGAUGCUUUCUCUGGACCCGGGUUCGAACCCCGGCAGCUCCACUA
rnacentral:tmRNA from 1 species